GCUAAGCAGGCUGUGGACUUUUCAGUAUCUGUUUCCUCCCCUGUGGUCCUGGACAUGGUCCCCAACCCCUGCCUCAGAACUUUGAAGUCUCUGCCUAGCUGCAAGCAAGUGAACAUCUGGAACAUAUGGUAAUUCCUAGGCCUUCUUCACCUGGACAAAGAACAUCUGGACACUGGUGGUUUGCCUGGAGGGUUCCCUUCGAUCCCAAGUCCUGUCCAGAAUGCUGCAGAGCCAUUCUUGGCAUCCCUGGCCACAGUGAUGAGAAGCCUUACUGACACAGCAGGGAAAAGCCAAGGCUGAAGGUCGAUGGAUAUGGAGCAGGCAUAAUUGUUCUACACAUUGUUUGAAAGGCGGGAGCAUCCCUAUAGCACAUGUGGUGACUGAUCUUCUCUGUGAACUUGAUACUAUCUGAAAUCAACUAUGACACUUGCCUCAUGGUAGUUCUGCGAGGGCAUUUCCAGGAAGGAGUCACUGAAGGGAGAAGGUCUCCACAGAGGGGUAGCAUCUUCUGACACAUCACAGCUAUAAAGAAGCCCAGGGAAAGGGCAGUGUUGCUUGCUUGCCUGCCUUCUUUUAAUGAUGGUGAAUGUGCACUGCUGCCACUGCCGCUGCCACCAUCCUCCACUGGUGACAGACUCUAGCCUCUUCUACCUUCCACCAUUGACUGAGAACCAGUAGCUCUUGAGGGAUCCUUCAGGUCUUCAGAUGCAGAUUGGGACAUCUGGGGCCCUCAGAUCUAUGGUCCAAACAGCUGCUGGGUUGCCAACCCCUCCAGCACGCAGACAGCCACUGUGGAAGAACCCAGUCCUUAUUGUGUAGGCCAUUUUGAUAAAUCCUCUGGUAGAAUAUCAGUACACUCUACCAUUUCUGUUCCUCUAGAGAAUCCGCCCAAACCCACUAUGUCUAUUUGAUAUGCUUCCUGUUUUGACCUAUAUGCAUUCCCCUGAAACCAUCGCUACACUUAACACAAAGAACAUAUUCAUCACUCCCAAGUGUCCUCAUACCUCUAAAUAUUCUCUUUGCAGCUCUUUAGUUAAUAAAUUUUAUGUAAUUGAAUAGAGCAUAAGGAGAUCAAGAUGCAUAUAGUGGUUACUAUAAAGGAAACAUCGUCUAACCACGGCCUGUCGUGAAGUAGCGCAUCCGCAAUGCUCAGACAAUCACUUCAUCCCUCUUCCAGCGCAUCCUGCACUCUUCCUCACGGGAACCACUAUUUUUCUAACUAGUUCCAGUACAGCAUGGUUGUAAAACCACUUCCUGUUGUCCUAGAAGCGGGAUGACCAUGACAAAGUGGUACUCGACAGUUCUCUUCUGCCAUCCAGCAGUGUUUGGCAAUCCCAGUGGUUCCUGGCUUUGCCUGUUCUUAGAUCUAAAAGUUGAAUAUUGAGGGCAGUUAAUAGGAAGGAAAUGGAAUUACCCAUUUCUUCCUUAUUUUUGUCCUUUUGGAUUUAUAUAUCGUGUAGCUCUGUAUUAUGCAUAUGUAUUUAUAAUGAUUGUAUCUUUCUAGUUAAUAAAUGCUUCACCAUUAUAACAUGUCUCUUUAAGGGGAUGGGGAUACAGUU